AACGAACGCUGGCGGCAUGCCUAACACAUGCAAGUCGAACGAGACCUUCGGGUCUAGUGGCGCACGGGUGCGUAACGCGUGGGAGUCUGCCCUUUGCUACGGAAUGACUCAGAGAAAUUUGUGCUAAUACCGUAUAAUGUCUACGGACCAAAGAUUUAUCGGCAAGGGAUGAGCCCGCGUAAGAUUAGCUUGUUGGUGGGGUAAAGGCCUACCAAGGCGACGAUCUUUAGCUGGUCUGAGAGGAUGAUCAGCCACACUGGGACUGAGACACGGCCCAGACUCCUACGGGAGGCAGCAGUGGGGAAUAUUGGACAAUGGGCGGAAGCCUGAUCCAGCAAUGCCGCGUGAGUGAUGAAGGCCUUAGGGUUGUAAAGCUCUUUUACCAGGGAUGAUAAUGACAGUACCUGGAGAAUAAGCUCCGGCUAACUCCGUGCCAGCAGCCGCAGUAA
rnacentral:rRNA from 1 species